AUCACUGGGUAGGAAGGAGGUCACGCGCUUCAAAAGGAGGCGACUUUUGAACAAGAAAUACUAAUGAUUCAUUCGAACCAGAAUGAUUCAUUCACUUAAAUGAUUCGAACAAAAACGAAACUCCACUGCUUGCCAGCAGUCGAUUCAAACCCAAAUCUACUUUAAAUUAGGUGUCCACGCAUGCAUCUAACUUCCAAAGGUCAUGAAAAGUUGCAUAACAGGCAGAGAACUUAUAAUUGAAUGUAUGAAUGGUCCAUUUUAUGGGAAGCUGAUAACACAAAUCAAUCUCAAAUCCAGCUAUGGUGAACAAGAGAAAGAAGCCAGACUGUAACAGAAUCAAAAUCGACAUAGAUCAAAGAUAGAUCUAGGAGGAUGUCGAUACUAGCUCACUGAAUACCGCACAGUCCUUCAAAAACAACAUUCUUAUGGAAGUCUCUGGCAGAAUAUCAGCCCUGCUCUGCCAGCUCUUGUUCUUUUAGCUUUUUUUCACAGCAGACGAUUUUCUCUGUUCACAAUCUGUCUCUCCAUCCCUGCAAUGGCCAUUAGGAUCAGUAUUACCAAAUACAGUUUGAGGAUUCAAAAGCGAUGGAUGGAAAUCAGUUUAAGCGCACUGUUGCGUGACUGCAGAGAAAAGCAAACACAUGCUUAUAUGGACCGAUAGAGACACAUGGUGGGUAUCUGGCUUGGAUCGCUCUUUGUUGACUAGCCUGAUAUAUGAUGUUCAGUAUUAAUGUUUUUUGAUCAAUUAAUUGUAAACAGCUCGACUAAAUUUGUGGAAUAUUUUGCAACAACGAACAGCAGCGCAUUUGUGCAGUAAUAAAACACAUCUCUCAGAAGUGAAAUCAUGUGCAUGUGUGUGUGUCUGCUGGUUGAUCAAAGAUGACUGGACACCAUCUUAUUCAGCUUUACCGAAAAGAAAAAAAACACUUUAUAAAUGAUGUUGUGGCAUUGAUGCAGACAGAAUAAUGUGUCCUUUGUCUUAAUGACACAUGAAAAUAUACGUUCAUCUCUCAUUUGCAGGAUGAUGAAUGGAGUGUGUCCCGUUAAAUUCUGUCAUUCAGCCCAGCACACACUACAGAGGUUAAAACUAUUCCCAAUUACAAGCACGAACACAAUAGAGGCUAAAAUGUAUGGUCUAACAAAAACCACAAAAGCUUCAGCUGCUGGAAUUAAUCUUUCAUGACCAGAUUUCAUUUGGAACCGUGGAAUAUAAUCAUGGCAUACGUUCAGAUUUCUCUCCUUAUAUAAUGAAUACACGCAGAAUAAUAAUGACAAACCACUGGUGCAUUACAAACGCUAAUGAAACAGGAUUGUUUUCGUGCUCCUUUGCUGUAUGUUAAGUGUCAUCCACAACGAUUUGUACAAUAUAGACAUACUGUAUGACACAUAAUCUAUUGAGAGCCCUGAUAUAUUAGUAGACAUAGAACAUUUAUGAAAACUAGGAUGCAAAACGUUAUUAAAAGCCAACAUGAU